GACGAACGCUGGCGGCGUGCUUAACACAUGCAAGUCGAACGGAAAGGCCCUGCUUUUGUGGGGUGCUCGAGUGGCGAACGGGUGAGUAACACGUGAGUAACCUGCCCUUGACUUUGGGAUAACUUCAGGAAACUGGGGCUAAUACCGGAUAGGAGCUCCUGCUGCAUGGUGGGGGUUGGAAAGUUUCGGCGGUUGGGGAUGGACUCGCGGUUUAUCAGCUUGUUGGUGGGGUAGUGGCUUACCAAGGCUUUGACGGGUAGCCGGCCUGAGAGGGUGACCGGCCACAUUGGGACUGGGGUGGGGCCCAGACUCCUACGGGAGGCAGCGGUGGGGAAUAUUGCACAAUGGGCGGAAGCCGGAUGCAGCAACGCCGCGUGCGGGAUGACGGCCUUCGGGUUGUAAACCGCUUUCGCCUGUGACGAAGCGUGAGUGACGGUAAUGGGUAAAGAAGCACCGGCUAACUACGUG
rnacentral:rRNA from 1 species